GACGAACGCUGGCGGCGUGCUUAACACAUGCAAGUCGAACGGUAAGGCCCUUCGGGGUACACGAGUGGCGAACGGGUGAGUAACACGUGGGUGAUCUGCCCUGCACUUCGGGAUAAGCCUGGGAAACUGGGUCUAAUACCGGAUAGGACCACUGCCUGCAUGGGUGGUGGUGGAACGCUUUUGCGGUGUGGGAUGGGCCCGCGGCCUGUCCGCUUGUUGGUGGGGUGAUGGCCUACCAAGGCGACGACGGGUAGCCGGCCUGGGAGGGUGAGCGGCCCGCCUGGGAGUGGGAUACGGCCCAGACUCCUACGGGAGGCAGCAGUGGGGAAUAUUGCACAAUGGGCGCAAGCCUGAUGCAGCGACGCCGCGUGAGGGAAGACGGCCUUCGGGUUGUAAACCUCUUUCAGCGCCGACGAAGCGCAAGUGACGGUAGGUGCAGAAGAAGGACCGGCCAACUACGUGCCAGCCGCCGCCGUAAAAC
rnacentral:rRNA from 1 species